rnacentral:rRNA from 1 species
GACGAACGCUGGCGGCGUGCUUAACACAUGCAAGUCGAACGGAAAGGCCCUGCUUUUGUGGGGUGCUCGAGUGGCGAACGGGUGAGUAACACGUGAGUAACCUGCCCUUGACUUUGGGAUAACUUUAGGAAACUGGGGCUAAUACCGGAUAGGAGCUCCUGCUGCAUGGUGGGGGUUGGAAAGUUUCGGCGGUUGGGGAUGGACUCGCGGCUUAUCAGCUUGUUGGUGGGGUAGUGGCUUACCAAGGCUUUGACGGGUAGCCGGCCUGAGAGGGUGACCGGCCACAUGGGGACUGAGGUACGGCCCAGACGCCUACGGGAGGCAGCGGUGGGGAAUAUUGCGCAAUGGGCGGAAGCCUGAUGCAGCAGCGCCGCGUGCGGGAUGACGGCCUACGGGUUGUAAACCGCUGUCGCCUGUGACGAAGCGGGAGUGACGGUAAUGGGUAAAGAAGCACCGGCUAACUACGUG